UUAUAGAAUAGGGUCUUCCGAACAAAAUGAGCCCUCCCCCGUCUCUCUCCUUCAAUCACAGGCGAUGCUAUGACUCAGAAUACCUGGGGAGUCUUUGACUGGCUCAGCGAGGUGUCAAUCGUAACACCAUCUAUUUGGGCUGUUUGAAGCCAGCCAAUGCCUACCCAGCAGAGUUUUGAUGGAUGGAAGUGAUAGCCAACUACAAGGACGUUUACAGUGAUUGACAGUUUGCGUAGUUUACGUAAGCAGAUUUGCAGAAUACCCGUGCGCAAAGUUUGUGUGUACUCGUGCGCUUUCGCGUUUACGCACGCUGCAUACACAGAAUAGCAUUGCUGCGCUAUAUGGAGUGUUUAUCCACGAACGGAUUUGCCCCAAAUCUUACUUCUGAAUCUCUCCAUCAUGGAACGUCGACUUCAGAAGUAUUUCUGUGGUGUUUGAUGCUGUUUUGGAGGAGGUGAUGAGAAGCAGCGACGAAGAUUAGCAGAAAGACGCGGAGAGAUGCACCCCAGGCAGGGAUAGCAUUAGCACUGGCUUUUGGUUUCCAGUUGGUCAGAGAACAAACCUUCUUAGUGGCUGCCUGGAGUGUUUUCCUAUACUGUAUAUGGCCUUUUUUGAAAGACUUUCUGGACUUUUCUUGAAAUAAAUGCUCCAAAUGACUUUUCCAAAGCUUUUCUUGAAAUAAAAUGCAUUAAAAAAAUAAAUAAAUAAUAACUUUUACUUCCAAAAGGCUUUUAUUCCAGUUUUUAUUUUAGGCAUCCUUUCAGAAAUGGCAUUUGGAGACCUAGUAACCAAAUGACCAAAUGAGUCAAAACUAUAAAUGUUGUUCUGAAAUAGUUUUUUCUUGUGUGGUUUGGUAGGCAGAGUAAUUAUGAACUGAUAACCAUAUAUGUAUUAUGUAGUUUUGACUCAUUUUCUCAUUUGGUUAGCAGGUGUCCAUUUGGAGUCUCCAGUGGCUUUUUUCAAAAGGACGCCUAGACUUUUUUAAAAUUAAAGCUUACAGAAACUACAUUUUUGGGAGUAUCAUCCUCAAAUUUGAAUCAAAACAUGGUCAGACAUUCAGCUUUAUAUUUUUGGGGUUUUCAGGCCUGUAACAUUGAAGUGUCAUCCAUUUUUGCCUAAGUGAAAUUCUUUUAAUAAAAUCGGAAGUCACUUUCAUGCA